ACAGUUGGGGGAAGGCAAAGCAGAAAAUUCCGUUUGCUUACCGCACCUGAUGUUCUUGCAUCAUGGAGUACCUGCUUGAUUGUGAAUUAUGAAUUCUACGGAAUCACCUUGGAUAAAGGUUGAAAGUAAGUCUGACCGCGCUGAGAGGAAGUCUGAGACUUGAAGGAGACAUUGGCAGAAGACUGACCUGCUCUCCCUUGCGUUUGCAGCCUAUAAGAAUGCAGGUACAUGCUUCGGAACUGGUGCCGAAGUAGAGGUUGAAGGUUUCUUCGACAUUGAUCCCGAGGUUCUUUUAAUUGACUUAGUCGGAGACCUUGGUGAUGGAGUGGCUGGUAAGGCUAAUGACGGAAGCUCCGGGCAGUAAAUGGUAUUUUAGCGGCACAGGAGACACAGCGCUUAAAAGGGCCUGAGGAGGCCAAAAAUUAAUUACGUUUCCUGGAGAAAAUAUAGACGAAAAUAACUCACAGGAAUCAUAGCGUAAACAAGUCCAAAUAUUGCCAAUCAAGAAGAGGAAACCGAGACAGUCCAAAGUCAAACUGUGUAAGCUCUAUGAAUGAGGUCAUUACUCUGUGAAGAAAAAGCAAGAAACGGCAAACAGUCCAAGAUCAAGCCGGGAGAUAAAGUGCAAUAAAGUCCAAAAGGCAAAAAUCGUGGUCAAAGGUAGUCCGUAGUCUUGCUUCUAGUAUUGCUAAACGAGUUA